rnacentral:rRNA from 1 species
GUCAGCGAACAUACCACGUCGAAAGCACCGGUUCUCGUCCGAUCACCGAAGUUGAACUACGUCAGGCAGGGUUAAUACUUGCAUGAGUGACCGGCUGGUGUGAGAUAGACUUACC